GCAGUUGCGACGGGGGACCCCAAGUGCCACUCUUAACGGGGUGGCUUUUCAGAAGUGUAAAAAGCUUCUGGAAUAAGGGCUGGGCAAGACCGGUGCCAGCCGCCGCGGUAACACCGGCAGCUCAAGUGGUAGCCGCUUUUAUUGGGCCUAAAGCGUCCGUAGCCGGUCUGAUAAGUCUCUGGUGAAAUCCCACAGCUUAACUGUGGGAAUUGCUGGAGAUACUAUCAUGACUCGAGGUCGGGAGAGGCUGGAGGUACUCCCAGGGUAGGGGUGAAAUCCUGUAAUCCUGGGAGGACCACCUGUG
rnacentral:rRNA from 1 species